rnacentral:misc_RNA from 1 species
GAUGAAGAACGCAGCGAAACGCGAUAGUUAAUGUGAAUUGCAGAAUUCAGUGAAUCAUCGAGUCUUUGAACGCACAUUGCGCCCAUUGGUAUUCCGUUGGGCAUGUCUGUUUGAGCGUCAUUACAACAGUUCAGCGUAAGCUGGUUAUGAGUUCUGUUUUUUUAAACAAAAAACAGGCUUUAAAAUGUAUGUUCUGCAGGUCGCUUUGCUAAACCCUAAACAUUAAAUACUGUUCUAGUGAAGCAUUUGCGACUCUGCCUGAAAAAAAACUUUUGUUAAAGUUUGACCUCAGAUCAGACAAGGUUACCCGCUGAACUUAAGCAUAUCAAUAAGCGGAGGA